rnacentral:rRNA from 1 species
UUAAGUGACUAAGCGUACAAGGUGGAUGCCUUGGCAAUCAGAGGCGAUGAAGGACGUGCUAAUCUGCGAAAAGCUUGGAUGAGUCGAUAAGAGGCGUUUAAUCCAAGAUGUCCGAAUGGGGAAACCCAGUAGAUGAAGAAUCUACUAUCACUUACUGAAUCCAUAGGUAAGUGAGGCAAACCGGGAGAACUGAAACAUCUAAGUACCCCGAGGAAAAGAAAUCAACCGAGAUUUCGUUAGUAGCGGCGAGCGAACGCGAAGGAGCCUGUUAGUGAUAAUGACAGAGACAGAGGAACAAGCUGGGAAGCUUGGCGAUACAGGGUGAUAGCCCCGUACUCGAAGUCCAGGUCAUGGUACUAAGCUAACGAUAAGUAGGGCGGGACACGUGAUAUCCUGUUUGAAGAUGGGGGGACCAUCCUCCAAGGCUAAAUACUCCUGAUUGACCGAUAGUGAACCAGUACUGUGAAGGAAAGGCGAAAAGAACCCCGGUGAGGGGAGUGAAAUAGAACCUGAAACCUUGUACGUACAAGCAGUGGGAGCCCUUUAAGGGUGACUGCGUACCUUUUGUAUAAUGGGUCAGCGACUUAUAUUUUGUAGCGAGGUUAACCGAAUAGGGGAGCCGAAGGGAAACCGAGUCUUAACUGGGCGUCUAGUUGCAAGGUAUAGACCCGAAACCCGGUGAUCUAGCCAUGGGCAGGUUGAAGGUUGGGUAACACUAACUGGAGGACCGAACCGACUAAUGUUGAAAAAUUAGCGGAUGACUUGUGGCUGGGGGUGAAAGGCCAAUCAAACCGGGAGAUAGCUGGUUCUCCCCGAAAGCUAUUUAGGUAGCGCCUCGUGAAUUCAUCUCCGGGGGUAGAGCACUGUUUCGGCAAGGGGGUCAUCCCGACUUACCAACCCGAUGCAAACUGCGAAUACCGGAGAAUGUUAUCACGGGAGACACACGGCGGGUGCUAACGUCCGUCGUGAAGAGGGAAACAACCCAGACCGCCAGCUAAGGUCCCAAAGUCAUGGUUAAGUGGGAAACGAUGUGGGAAGGCCCAGACAGCCAGGAUGUUGGCUUAGAAGCAGCCAUCAUUUAAAGAAAGCGUAAUAGCUCACUAGUCGAGUCGGCCUGCGCGGAAGAUGUAACGGGGCUCAAAUAUAGCACCGAAGCUGCGGCAUCAGACGAAAGUCUGUUGGGUAGGGGAGCGUUCUGUAAGCGGAUGAAGGUGAAUCGAGAGGUUUGCUGGACGUAUCAGAAGUGCGAAUGCUGACAUAAGUAACGAUAAAACGGGUGAAAAACCCGUUCGCCGGAAGACCAAGGGUUCCUGUCCAACGUUAAUCGGGGCAGGGUGAGUCGGCCCCUAAGGCGAGGCUGAAAAGCGUAGUCGAUGGGAAACGGGUUAAUAUUCCCGUACUUGGAUAAACUGCGAUGUGGGGACGGAGCAGGUUAGGUUAUCGCACUGUUGGAUAUGUGCGUUUAAGUUUGUAGGUGGGAAGUUUAGGCAAAUCCGGACUUCUUUAACACUGAGAGAUGAUGACGAGGCUCUACGGAGCUGAAGUAACCGAUACCACACUUCCAGGAAAAGCCACUAAGCUUCAGGUUUAUCUAAACCGUACUGAAAACCGACACAGGUGGUCAGGUAGAGAAUACUCAGGCGCUUGAGAGAACUCGGGUGAAGGAACUAGGCAAAAUAGCACCGUAACUUCGGGAGAAGGUGCGCCGGCGUAGAUUGUAGUCCCUUGCGGGCGAAGGUUGAACCGGUCGAAGAUACCAGCUGGCUGCAACUGUUUAUUAAAAACACAGCACUCUGCAAACACGAAAGUGGACGUAUAGGGUGUGAUGCCUGCCCGGUGCUGGAAGGUUAAUUGAUGGUGUAAUCGAAAGAGAAGCUCCUGAUCGAAGCCCCAGUAAACGGCGGCCGUAACUAUAACGGUCCUAAGGUAGCGAAAUUCCUUGUCGGGUAAGUUCCGAC